rnacentral:rRNA from 1 species
CGCGUAGGCGGCGCGGUAAGUCACUUGUGAAAUCUCUGAGCUUAACUCAGAACGGCCAAGUGAUACUGCAGUGCUAGAGUGUGGAAGGGGCAAUCGGAAUUCUUGGUGUAGCGGUGAAAUGCGUAGAUAUCAAGAGGAACACCUGAGGUGAAGACGGGUUGCUGGGCCAACACUGACGCUGAGGCGCGAAAGCCAGGGGAGCAAACG